rnacentral:tRNA from 1 species
GUAAUUAUAAGUUAAUAGUAAACUUGUUAUCUUCUAUAUAAAGAUUAUUAGUUUAAGUCUAAUUAAUUAUA